ACCACAUGUCUACCGUGACCUAUGGCGUUUGCCCGCACCCCUGUGACCUCGUCCGGCGUCUCGUCUUGUGGCGGCACCGCGCAAGCCAGUGAGUACCCCUUUUCAGAGUUGUCGUAACACGGCUGUGUUUUGAAGGAAUUGAAGCUCGGGGUUUCAUUUUUGGUUCUCCUAUUGCACUGGCAAUAGGAGCAAAGUUUGUACCAUUGAGGAAACCGAAAAAAUUGCCUGGCAAAGUUAUUUCUCAAGAGCAUAUUCUGGAAUAUGGAAGAGACUGUCUUGAGAUGCAUGUUGGUUUAGAGUUGUUGAACCUAGUGAGCGUGCUUUAGUUGUCACUCUAU